rnacentral:rRNA from 1 species
AUGAACGCUGGCGGCGUGCCUAAUCCAUGCCAGUCGAGCGAACGGACGAGAAGCUUGCUUCUCUGAUGUUAGCGGCGGACGGGUGAGUAACACGUGGAUAACCUACCUAUAAGACUGGGAUAACUUCGGGAAACCGGAGCUAAUACCGGAUAAUAUUUUGAACCGCAUGGUUCAAAAGUGAAAGACGGUCUUGCUGUCACUUAUAGAUGGAUCCGCGCUGCAUUAGCUAGUUGGUAAGGUAACGGCUUACCAAGGCAACGAUGCAUAGCCGACCUGAGAGGGUGAUCGGCCACACUGGAACUGAGACACGGUCCAGACUCCUACGGGAGGCAGCAGUAGGGAAUCUUCCGCAAUGGGCGAAAGCCUGACGGAGCAACGCCGCGUGAGUGAUGAAGGUCUUCGGAUCGUAAAACUCUGUUAUUAGGGAAGAACAUAUGUGUAAGUAACUGUGCACAUCUUGACGGUACCUAAUCAGAAAGCCACGGCUGACUACGUG